rnacentral:lncRNA from 1 species
UUAAAUCUGUACAUGGAAGUAUUAUAUUGACAGGAACUACAACGAUUAAUUAGCAUUUAUUUAUAACCCGGGUAGCCCUGUAGAAAAGAUAUGGAAACUAUCUAAUUAGUACGCUGUCGUUAAUUUCUUUUGUGACUAUCUGCGAUGCCGCGGUCAUAAAUUGACCAGAGAUAUUCUUAUCAAUCACGUGGUUUUUAUCGAGACAGCUUAACAAUAUUACCUGUCGUAAAACACCUUUACUUAUUUCAAUCGCGUCGGUAGACCUUGAUUCGUGAACAAAUUAUUUAAACAAAUCGACUGAUGCAUAAAAAAUGAAAAUCGGCCCAGAAUUAAUUAUUCUACAACGAUUUGAAAUAGUGAGUGACAUUAUUUCAUAAGUUUGUGGGUAAAGUUUAAAUCGCGAUUAAGGUGUGUUCCGGUUACCGCCGGUUCACAAUAAAUAUAUUUAAUAAAUAUAAAAACUGUGAAGUUUAGAGUAAUAUAUAUGGUUAAGUUACUGGAUAAUCCUGGAAAGUAGAAAUUUCCAGUUUACAAUACGAAAAUUAAUCGAGCAAGUACCAAUCAAUAAAAUACAGCAGAGUAAAACAGAGAUCUAACUACGUUAUAUAGCUAUUUAUAUAAUACAUUUCUGUCCCCUAAAAUAUGUUAUCACUAUCCGACCAAACGAAACCGUCCAAAUGAUACUGGUAAAUAUUAUUGAACAAUCGCACAAGAAUUUUUAACGUGUCACUAUACAAAUCCUUGAGUCGC